UCCAGCGGUAGUCAGCUGUACAGGCCAGCCAAUGCCUGAACUAGUGUUACACUGCUGGAAUAGGAAGAUUCUGCUAAUGUGGCCUGGUCCAGCAGAUACUGUUUUAGUGGCUGUUGGUGCUGAGCUGUAGCAGAACUGUGCCCUUCUGAGAGUGGUCUGCACCUACACACUGGGGCAGCCCUAGUAGAAGGGCUAACAAA
ensembl:snoRNA SNORA74 Small nucleolar RNA SNORA74